rnacentral:ribozyme from 1 species
GAAAAAAAGAAGAAAACAAAAGAGAAGAGAGGAUUACAAAAUGGUUCCUCCGUUUUGGUUUCCUGCAAUCCUGUCAUUAUUGUUUAUCUU